rnacentral:snRNA from 1 species
UGACUCACCUGGCAAGGAAGACACCAUGAUCAUGCAGUUGGUUUUCCCAGGGCAAGGUUCACCCAUUGCACUGGGAUGUGCUGACCCCUGUGAUUUCCUCAAAUGUGGGAAACUCAACUGUAUUAUUUAUAUUAGUGGAGGACUGUUUUCACACUCUCCUCUG